ACAUACUGCAAGCAUCGGUUUCCAUUUGUUGUCUCUAAAGGGACAUUCAUAAAUAAAUAAAUGCAAGAGAAGAUUUAAAACAACAAUAAGAAGAACAUUUACGAACCAAUGGAAACACUUGUGAAUUCGAUUCAACUUUUGCAUCUUUCAUGAAAAUUCAUUUGUUUAUUUUAUAUAUUUUUGUUGUUUUUUGUUUUUUUUUGACAGAUAAUAUUGUGUACAGGGAUACAAUUCACAUUUUAGUUGUCCCUUAAUAAAAAAAAAAAUAGAAAAAUAAAAAUAUUGGUUUAAAUGAAUUUAAUCUGUGGAUUCUGUAAAGUAUUUCAUUGUGCUCAGUCUUUUCCAGUUAUUUUUUGGUUUUUUUUGUUUACAUUAUUUUUUUUUUCCUCAAUUUAUCUAAUGCCAAAAUGGCUCAUCAAAAGAAAUAACAUUCCCCUUAUGUUUUAUCCAGUGUAAAUUUAAUAAAAUAAAGAAUUUAUUUACUUUUUAUAUAAGAAUC
rnacentral:lncRNA from 1 species